AUGAGAACAAACCUGCUUGGAAGAGAAAGACUGAAACCUGCUUGGCCAUCUUAAAUUCAUAUCAAUUCUUUGGGUACAAGAACACAGCGAGGCAGGCGCCACCAAGCCCACAUUCCAGCUGAACAGAGGCAGCAAUUCAUCCACAGAGAAAAGGGGUCCUGCCAGAUCAUGCUGCUGGCAGAGGAUUCCCUGCUGAGAAAGGCUAUUUUACCGUAGUGAUCAAUCAACUGGAAGACCAUUAACCCACCACAGGCCUCCAGACAACUUUGUUGAGCAGCCAUGACAAUAAAAAAAAGAAGUUUAAGCUUCCUUCUAGUGUCAGCCCUUUGGAGCAGUUCCAUUUCGGGUGCAAGAGCAGCCGAGAAGAGACGUGCGUGUCCUGCAUGCGUCUCAGCUGUGAUGUACAAAUCCAGAUCACUUCAUCCCUACCAAGAUAACAAGGUCACUGUGCAGGAGAUAAGCACUGCAUGAAGAAACAAAGAGCUGCUGCUAGAAGACACUUGAAAUACUUCACUGGUGCCUGUACACCAGUAAUUUAGGAACAAUAACAGCAUGGGACAGGCACAGUGUGGUACUGUAGCACCAUCUUUGCCCACAGCACUAGGCCUGAUUUUGUCUUAUGUGAAGCACAGCAACAUCUUGAACAGCAAAAUGCACAACCCAGCUCUCAGCACAAAGCCUACAGGCCAGAUUUCAGCCCCUGGCUGGGAAGGUUUGAGUAAACUAUGCUGACAGAAGAAACCAAUAUUGACAUUUGAAGUUUAGAUCCCAAAUAUUUACAUUCCUAAUGAUUGGGAGUUCUAAAAAAAAAUAAUAAUUAAAAGUUAAAAUCUAAAUAUUUUGUCAAACACAGGUCUAGGUUCUUCCACGCAGAAGCUUCUUCUAGCAAAAUAAAUCUAAG